UUUUACUCGAUAACUAACGAAUGUCAUGAAUAAAUGAAUAGGAUUUAUGCUGCAAAGUAAUAUGUCGAUGUGAGAUCAUGAAUUCGAGGAAAUAAAAAUUUAAACGUGUUUCAUUAUUUUAAAAUGCUUUCCUCCAUACGGAACACACCCUACACUGAGGAAAGUUUCCCAGGAUUCUCUUUCAAACAUGAUAAUGUCAAGCUACCAGAUGCAUCUAGGUGUACAUGUAUAAAUUUUAUUAAAUAGGAUUAUAUUAUUCAUAUCAAGAACUUUGCGCAAUAUUUUUUGUCAAUUGUCGGUCUGUUCAGUUGACCUCAGAGAAUUCCUAUCAUGUACUUUGUUUGUUGAUAAUCAUUGUAUGCUGGAAUUUAUACAACAUGCUCCUCUGUCAGUGAACAAUUCAAAAGCAAAAACAUUUCUGACACUUUACUUUUCCCAUUCGAAUGGACCUUAUCCACUUUACUAGAGUUGUACACUGUUGUCUGGAAAAGUGGGAAACUGAGAAGAGAUCAAUACACCUCCAAGGAAUGAAGAAGGUUCACCAGAUAUGAAAUCCUCCCAUAUUGCCGUGGAUGAAGAACGAUGGCAUUUCCCUUGGACGCUUAGAAUGACAUAACUGAUAUUUUAGACCUCACAUUCAGCAUCGAUGCUGAUGAAGAAAAGUUGAUGCUUUACGAACGCGAUGAGGUGACUGACUACGACCUAAUCCCGGGUGGAUGAAAUAUCUGAGUCACUGAAGAAAAUAAGCAAUAGUAUGUUGACUUGGUUGCUGAGCAUGGGUUGACGACUGCUAUCCGCCCUAUGAUAAAUGCAUUUUUGGAAGGUUUUCAGUGAAUUGAUCCCACGGGAUCUGGUCUCUAUUUUUCACGACAAGGAACUUGAGCUGAUAAUUAGCGGUCUUCCAAACAUCGUUCGUGCCGUUGGAAGGGUUUAGUGCACUGCAAGGAAUUUCAGGUUCCCAGAAAUUUCAGAUCCACAAAGCUUAUGCCAGUCCUGAUCACUUGCCUUCCGCACUUACAUGGUAAUUAUUUUAUCAUCUGAAACUAGACGAUGGUUGCCCUCCUGAUGCUGAAGAUUUCUGCCAGUAAAGAUCUAUGUUGCUCACUCUCCAAAUUACUUAACCUUCUUUCAUUUUUGUUACCAUCCUAUUUUGCUUGUAUUUCUGAAUUUACCAGUAGAAGCCCAUGUUGCUUCCUCUGUCCAAAUUACUUCACUUGCUUUCCUUUUUAUGUGCAUCCUAAUUUACUGCAGAUGAGUUGGCAGCUCUUCUCUCUGAGACGGUAAAGCUUUCUUAUUUGAGUAUUUUAAUCCAAUGUUGAGUAAUAUUAUGUGAUAUUAUCCUAAACUUGAAUUACAUUUCAACUAUUGAUAGUAAUUUUUUAACACAAAGUAGAAAACUUCUUUCUUCGGAACUGGAUGGAGGUGUUGUGGAUUUGACUUCUACUCCAUUACUUAUUUACUGCAAACACUCCUUAACUAUUACUUACAGCUGGUGCGAGCAUCCAUGUAAAUAUUAAAUAUGGUACAGAGUGCACAUCCCUUAGGAUAGACUAAACACUAGCCCAGAUUAUCUUUGUCUUGUAAUGUGUUCUUGCUAUAGUGAUUGAACAUUUAGAGAUUUCAGAUUAUACUUUAGUGUAUGUAGACGUAGUGUCUUGUUUUUGUUACUAUUUUUGAAUGAUGAGGAGACGGGCAUCAGGAAACUUGGGAACUUGGUCCAAAAAAAAAAAAAGGCAUUGGGAAACCUGAUAAGAACUUUUUGUUCAUGUAUUAUUUUUCCUUUUUACCAGUUACCUGACACAAAUCGUCCAAAGGUUUCUCAGGUAAUUCCUAUUACUUGAGCAAAUCAUUAACUUUGUAUGUAAUUCAAUAUUUUUGCAUAUUUGUCAACAUUUAAAGGUCUUAGAUGUAUAUACCAUGUUUUUUAUACUUAUAUAUAUGUAGUAACAUACCAAUUGUUCGCCCUUUUACCUUAUAACUCAUAAUAUUUAUUUUUAUACUUCUCUCAACUCCAAUUUACUUAGUUGAUUUGUAUUUGCCUGUUUCUCCAGGUAUCUCAAAAUCUUCCUAUGUUGUGGUUUUUGGGAUGCAGAAGACUUGGCUAUUAAGCUUGGGACUCCAGCUCAUUGCAAAUGUUGCAUUAGGAUAUGCUUUUUUUGUCUUUGAAGAUAUAAACAAUUCUUAUAUUGUUGGGAAGGUUGGAGAAAGAAGUGGAAAUCUAUUACUAAAGUUGUAUGCAAUUCAGUUUAUCUCUCUUAACAAUAGUGUUCAUAUAGACAACUUGGAACGGAUAACUUCUUACGUACAUUAUGUUGUAUUAAAAUUACCAGUUAAAUGAUAUCCUCUUUUCAGUUU